AGGAUCCGAUAGACGUUGACUAUCAAACUGCUCGAAAACUGAUCAAGCUCUAUGGGAUGAAGAACUUCCCUUAGGAUUUUUCGAGGAAUGGAAACCACUCUAUCUACUAAUGGUGGAUUCUGAGAAUCUUGGUCUCCAACCAAGUUCUCACCAUCCAAUUCUACCUCAGACAUCCUACGGUCGAGAUUGACAGCCACAAGAACAAAAAGAAGGUCCUCAAGCCUAUUGGGGAGGCCAAACACAAAGAAAAAACAAAGGCAAUGCUAGCUACAAGAGGCUAUAAGAAGAAAGAAAAGGAAAGGAAAG
rnacentral:lncRNA from 1 species